GAAAUGCGAUAAGUAAUGGGAAUUGCAGAAUUCAGUGAAUCAUCGAAUCUUUGAACGCACAUUGCGCCCCUUGGUAUUCCGGGGGGCAUGCCUGUUCGAGCGUCAUUACAACCCUCAAGCUUUGCUUGGUCUUGGGCCCUGCCAGUAAUGGCUGGCCUUAAAAUCAGUGGCGGUGCCAUCGAGCUCUACGCGUAGUAAUUGAACCCUCGCUUGUGAGUCUUGGUGGAUGCUUGCCAGCAACCCCUAAUUUUCUAUGGUUGACCUCGGAUCAGGUAGGGAUACCCGCUGAACUUAA
rnacentral:misc_RNA from 1 species